UACAGAGGUCUCAAGCGUUGUUCGGAUUCAUUGGGCGUAAAGGGUGCGUAGGCGGCGCGGUAAGUCGGGUGUGAAAUCUCGGGGCUUAACUCCGAAACUGCAUUUGAUACUGGCGUGCUUGAGGACUGGAGAGGAGACCGGAAUUCAUGGUGUAGCAGUGAAAUGCGUAGAGAUCAUGAGGAAGACCAGUGGCGAAGGCGGGUCUCUGGACAGUUCCUGACACUGAGGCACGAAGGCCAGGGGAGCAAACGGG
rnacentral:rRNA from 1 species